UGGGGAAUUUUGCACAAUAGGGGAAACCCUGAUGCAGCGACGCCGCGUGGGUGAAGAAGGCCCUAGGGUUGUAAAACCCUUUCAGCAGGGAAGAUGAUGACGGUACCUGCAGAAGAAGCCCCGGCAAACUCCGUGCCAGCAGCCGCGGUAAUACGGAGGGGGCUAGCGUUGUUCGGAAUUACUGGGCGUAAAGCGCACGUAGGCGGUUUGGAAAGUUGGGUGUGAAAGCCCGGGGCUCAACCCCGGAACUGCACUCAAAACUUCCAGGCUAGAGAUCUGGAGAGGUGGGCGGAAUUCCGAGUGUAGAGGUGAAAUUCGUAGAUAUUCGGAAGAACACCGGUUGCGAAGGCGGCUCACUGGCCAGAGUCUGACGCUGAGGUGCGAAAGCGUGGGGAGCAAACAGG
rnacentral:rRNA from 2 species